GUCGUACGAGAACACUCUAGCUUGCUAGGGUAAGUAAAGUGGCGCACGGGUGAGUAACGCGUGGGUAAUCUACCUUCGAAUUGGGGAUAACGUUGCGAAAGCGACGCUAAUACCGAAUAACAUCCAUUAAUCUUCGGGUUUUUGGAUCAAGGGUGGCCUCUACAUGUAAGCUACUGUUUGAAGAUGAGCCCGCGUACCAUUAGCUUGUUGGUGGGGUAAUGGCCUACCAAGGCAGCGAUGGUUAGCUGGUCUGAGAGGAUGAUCAGCCACACUGGAACUGACACACGGUCCAGACUCCUACGGGAGGCAGCAGUGAGGAAUUUUGCGCAAUGGGGGAAACCCUGACGCAGCAACGCCGCGUGAGUGAUGAAGGCUUUCGGGUCGUAAAGCUCUGUCAAGUGGGAAGAACCUGCAGUAUGCUAAUAUCAUAUUGCACUGACGGUACCACUGAAGGAAGCACCGGCUAACUCCGUG
rnacentral:rRNA from 1 species